UACGGAGGGGACUAGCGUUGUUCGGAAUUACUGGGCGUAAAGCGCACGUAGGCGGAUUUGUAAGUCAGGGGUGAAAUCCCGGGGCUCAACCUCGGAACUGCCUUUGAUACUGCAAAUCUCGAGUCCGGAAGAGGUGAGUGGAAUUCCUAGUGUAGAGGUGAAAUUCGUAGAUAUUAGGAAGAACACCAGUGGCGAAGGCGGCUCACUGGUCCGAUACUGACGCUCAUGCACGAAAGCGUGGGGAGCAAACAGG
rnacentral:rRNA from 1 species